rnacentral:tRNA from 1 species
GCUCCCAUAGCUCAACGGAUAGAGCUGUUCCGUCCUAAGGAAAAGAUAGGGGUUCAAUUCCCUUUGGGGGCA